UACGGAGGGUGCAAGCGUUGUCCGGAUUUAUUGGGUUUAAAGGGUGCGUAGGCGGGCCUUUAAGUCAGUGGUGAAAGCCCAUCGCUUAACGAUGGAACUGCCAUUGAUACUGGGGGCCUUGAGUUCAGUUGAGGUAGGCGGAAUUUAUGGUGUAGCGGUGAAAUGCAUAGAUACCAUAAAGAACACCAAUUGCGGAGGCAGCUUACUGGGCUUGAACUGACGCUGAGGCACGAAAGCGUGGGGAUCGAACAGG
rnacentral:misc_RNA from 1 species